ensembl:lncRNA
AUGAACAUUUCCCUGGCUUGGUGCCAGCAACUUCAUAUCUUUUCCAUAAAGCAUAUGGACAAUNNNNNNNNNNNAAUAACAGACAUUUUGGAAAAACCAGAGAUUUGUUUGAAUAAAAAGGAAUCAAUUCCAGGCAUUGUUUCCGAUAUUCAGUGUGGGGAAGAAUAUCAAAAGAUCAAGCAGAGUGGACAAAUGGGGCCUGAUGACAUAUCAAUCUUGUGGAAUUGUGAUGGAAUUCCUGUUUUUAAAAGUAAUAAUGUUCAGAUAUGGCCAAUCCAGUGUCAAAUUAUUGAGCUGUCACCAAGUGAUCGUGAAAGGAACAUAUGCGUACCAUGCUUAUGGGUUGGUAACAGCAAGCCAAAUAUGAUCACAUUUUUAACUGCUUUUGUGUCACAGCUCAAGGAACUACAACAGAUUGGAAUCAAAUGGAGGGACUCUGAAAACGUAGAGCAUACAAGCAAGGUUCAUUCACUCCUCUGCUCUUCUGAUUCAAUUGCCCGGCCCCUCCUGAGAAACACGAAGCAGUUCAAUGGAAAAUAUGGGUGUGACUUUUGCCUCCACUACGGUGGUGGCCCAUAUAUUUGGGAAACACCUGAACCACCUUUGAGGACAGAGACAGAUCAUUUCCGGCAUGCUAUGCUGGCAACACCUGCUCAACCAGUAAUGGGUGUAAAAGGACCAUCACCUUUGAUGGAACUUGAAAGCUUUAACAUGAUCACAGGCUUCGUUCCAGAGUACCAGCACAGUGUCUGCCUUGGUGUAACUAAACAGAUAACUUCUCUGUGGCUGGACAGUAAACACCAUAAGGAAGAUUGGUACUUGGGCUCAAAGACCAAUGACAUAGACCAGGGGCUCAAGGCCAUUAACCCACCUUUGGAAGUCACAAGGGCCCCAAGAUCAGUGAAAGACCGAAAAUUCUGGAAAGCAUCUGAAUGGAGGUCUUUUUUGUUGUUUUAUGCUUUGCCUGUUUUGAGUGGUAUUUUGAAAAAGAAAUACUGGAAUCAUCUUUUUUUAUUAGUUUUUUCAAUGCACACUCUUCUUCAUGAUGCCAUCAAAGCAAACCAUGUGGAUAUGGCAGAACGAGCUCUUCGAAAGUUUGUGCGUAACUUUGAGAAACUUUAUGGUGCUAAAAAUGUUUCUUUCAAUGUGCAUUUAUUAAUGCACUUAGCAACAAGUGUGCGAAACUGGGGCCCGCUGUGGGCAACAUCCACAUUCCCAUUCGAAUCUUUUAAUGGAACAUUGCUGAAGUUUUUCAACGGAACAACGCAUGUGCUAGAUCAAGUAGUUAAGAGAUUCCUUAGGUGGAGGGCUCUCUCAGCAAAAGCAGGGACUACAAUGGCAAAUGCUAAUGAAAACAUACAAUUUUUUUUUGACAAACUCCAAAAUAGAUCUGCCUUAAGACAGAAGUCAAAGAAGUUUCAAGAUAAUGUCAGAGGUUUUGGUUGCCCGAAGAAAGGUACCACAUCUGUGCUGCAGAGGAUGGCUAUUGAAGAAUUUACUGGUGACACCGUUAAUUCCGGUUUAUUUUAUGACCGUUUCACUUGUAGCGGAGUUCUUUAUCAUUCCUGCAAGAGCACAACUCUUAAAAAGAGAAACAAUUCAGUUGUCCAGUUAAAUGACGGAACAUUCUGUGAAAUUCUGACACUGGGGGAUUUUACGUGUGAGGACGGGGCAUCUACUGCAUCCACCAACAACAGAUUCUGUGUUUUAGUUAAAGAGCUUGCCAAGAGUGGAGGAACGUUGUGUAGAGAUGCUCAGCUAAAUAUAUCCUCAACAUUUAUAUAUGAAGUGUCUCACACCAAUAAUGUGUUUGCUGUCCCUCCGCAAUCACUCAAACGUAAAUGUGUACUGGUUAGGUCUAAGGACAAACUGUAUGUCAUCCCACUUCCAAACAACAUUGAAAGAGACUAA